AUGAGGAAGAGUGGGACUUCAUCAGAAACUUAUGUGGAAAACUUGGCUGACUCCUGCAGCAUUGAUCUUCAGGAGCCCAAAAAGGGUUAUGACGGGGUGAAGAAAAAAGAUUUUAAAAGAUUUAGUAGGUUCAACCAGCCGGCGCGGAAGAUCCGCAGACGCAAGGCCCUGCUGGCGAAAGCGCGCCGUAUCGCCCCGCGUCCCGCGUCCGGGCCCAUCCGGCCCAUAGUGAGAUGCCCCACGGUGAGAUACCACACCAAGGUCGAGCCGGUCGGGGCUUCAGCCAGGAAGAGCUCAGGGUGGCCGGCAUCCAUAAGAAAGUGGCACGGACCAUCGGCAUCUCUGUGAACCCAAGAAGGCGGAACAAGUCCACGGAAUCCCUGCAGGCUAACGUGCAGCGGCUGAAGGAGUACUGCUCUAAGCUUAUCCUCUUCCCCAGGAAGCCUUCUGCCCCCAAGAAGGGAGACAGCUCUGCUGAAGAACUCAAAUUGGCCACUCAGCUCACAGGACCAGUGAUGCCCAUCCGGAAUGUCUAUAAAAAGGAGAAAGCCAGAGUGAUCACAGAAGAAGAAAAGAACUUCAAGGCUUUUGCCAGCCUCCGAAUGGCCCGUGCCAACGCCCGGCUCUUCGGCAUUCGAGCGAAAAGGGCCAAGGAAGCUGCGGAACAAGAUGUUGAAAAGAAAAAGUAAUGCUCUGUUGGGGCAUUGUAAUAAAUUUUCAGUAAAGCGGAGAAAAAAAAAAAA